rnacentral:rRNA from 1 species
AUUGAACGCUGGCGGCAGGCCUAACACAUGCAAGUCGAGCGAGCGGCGGACGGGUGCGUAAUGCCUGGGAAUUGCCCAGUCGAGGGGGAUAACAGUUGGAAACGACUGCUAAUACGGAUUACGAUCGGAUUGCCCAGGUGGGAUUAGCUAGUUGGUGGGGUAAUGGCUCACAAAGGCUACGAUCCAUAGCUGGUCUGAUAGGAUGAUCAGCCACACUGGAACUGAGAAACGGUCCAGACUCCUACGGGAGGCAGCAGUGGGGAAUAUUGCACAAUGGGGAAAACCCUGAUGCAGCCAUGCCGCGUGUGUGAAGAAGGCCGUCGGGUUGUAAAGCACUUUCAGCGAGGAGGCGUUACUCGCAGAAGAAGCACCGGCUAACUCCGUGCCAGCCGCCGCGGUAAUAC